UAUUGUGCAUGCACAGGUCCCUAUAGCA
rnacentral:piRNA from 1 species